GCGCGACUCACGAUGCGUAGCGGGCAGUCCGCAGCGUUGGCUCCCGUGCUCCAGUUCACCAACUGCCGCAUCCUGCGCGGCGGCACGCUGCUCAGGGAGGAUCUGUGGGUGCGCGGGGGCCGAAUCCUGGACCCAGAGAAGCUGUUUUUUGAGGAGAGGCGUGUGGCUGAUGAGCAGCGGGACUGCGGAGGCCGCAUCCUGGCGCCGGGCUUUAUCGAUGUGCAGAUCAACGGUGGAUUUGGUGUUGACUUCUCCAGGGCCACGGAGGACGUGGGUUCGGGGGUCGCCCUAGUGGCCCGGAGGCUCCUGUCCCACGGUGUCACCUCCUUCUGUCCCACCCUGGUGACCUCCCCACCAGAGGUUUAUCACAAGGGGUGCACUUGGAAGGCCCGUUCAUCAGCCGGGAAAAGCGGGGUGCACACCCUGAGGCCUACCUCCGCUCCUUUGGAGCCAAUGCUUUUCAUGACGUGUUGGCCACGUACGGUCCCCUGGACAACGUCUGCAUUGUGACACUUGCCCCUGAACUAGACCGGAGCCAUGAGGUGAUCCAGGCACUGACAGCCAAAGGCAUCCGUGUAUCUCUGGGGCACUCGGUGGCUGACCUGCGGGCUGCAGAAGUAGCAGUGCAGAGUGGGGCCACCUUCAUCAC
rnacentral:lncRNA from 1 species